CCCUUAGAUGUUCUGGGCGGCCCGCGCACUACAAUGGCGCUUUCAGCGAGUUCCUAUGUUGAAUUUUCCUGGGUAUUCUUGGAAGCGGCGUCUUGACUUGGGAUAGAUCCUUGUAAUUGUUGGUUUUGAACGAGGAAUUCCUUGUAAUCGCGGUUGAUCAGCUCGCGUUGAAUACGUCCCUGCCCUUUGUACACACCGCCCGUCGCUCCUACCGAUGAAUCGUCCGGUGAAGUUCACAGAGUGGCGGUUCGUGGAGUUGCUCGCGAAGUGAAAUAGACCUCACGAUUUAGAGGAAGGAGAAGUCGUAACA
rnacentral:rRNA from 1 species